CUUCUUUGGUUUCCUUUCCAGACUCAGCUCUUGUCCUCAGUUGAACCCAAGUCUACCCUCAGGCUGUAUGGAUGGAAAUUGCCAUCUAAGUGAAGCCAACAAGCCUAGUCUCAGUGGCUGGCAGCGCUCUUACAAGCAGUGAGGGAGAGAACGCAUGAAAAUCAAGCCCACCCAAAGGAAGAGAGAGUGACCAACCUCGAUGACAUGAUGGAGCCUGUCUUCCCCUGUGCCAAAGGCCAUGUCUUUAACAAGACAGUUAAGAUACCCAAGACACACAUUGUUUUUUGUAAUAAAAUAAAUUCAAACUUGGCUUUCUGUCACUUGCAACUAAAAGAAUCCUAAAUGAUUCAGGGCCCAACUCCCAGAAGAAUGUAUUCUCUGCCCAUCCACCAGGGUAGACAGUUUCUGACAUUUUAAAGGCAA
ensembl:lncRNA